AUCUGAUAACUAGGCAUGUCACGGAGCGGCGCCGAAGGUUGUUGGAAGCGAGUGGGGCCUGCCAGAGUCCUCCCUAUCCCGGGUGCAGUUCCGAGCGGACGAAGCCUUCCCAGUACGGUUGUAUCGAUCCGGAUCGGACUCCCAUGAUCGGAGAGGAUAUUCAAUUCCCCGGUGGGGUGCAAGACCAGUCCAGGGAAGAGGUCGUGCAAAUGCCCCCGAAAACAAGACCCAAACGAAGCGCUCCUGAACGGGAGCGUUCAAAAUCCCCUCCAGCACCUGCUUGUGCCAAAACCGAUUGUAGUGAAAAUGUUAGAAAACGUGAACCGCAAUACGAGGUUUAAAUAUUCUUAUGUUUACUUCUGUUUACAGGGCUGGUAGCAGGUCUUCAUUUAGAGACUUGGUUUGUACCAAGUCUUUUAAAAGUUUUUAUAUUCAAGGGAAGUCUCUUUUUUUCUUAAAUGGUGUCUGAAGUCACUAGGAGUAGUCGGGGCGGUUUUGCCAAUGGGGUGAAAUGAGCACCCCUUGAAAACUGCAUAAAUUCUUGAAAUUUUAUCUGAAAUAACAUGCAAUCCCAAAGCUGAUAAGGAAAUGAAGCAAUAGGCAUGCUAUAAGUCAGUGUUCAAAACUCAAAGCAAAAUAAAUAAAUGAUGUUUGAAAAAACUGCCCAUAUUGCCCCGAAUGGCUCUUUUAAAUUUCAUCAUUUCAGAAUGAUGCUGUUUGACUGUUAGAAUGUUCCUCAAAAAUAUAUCUUCUUGCACGGAUUGUUUGUAAGUACUAAUAACUUUCAA